ensembl:lncRNA
UUUCUCCUAGGCUGAUUUGUCAAUGCACUGCUUGCCUGUGAGGCCACUGAGACUACAGGAAGUUUUCAAUGAAUAUAUGUGGACCAGACAAGUGGUUAUGUGGGCUCCACAACUACAGUAUAAUAUUCCAAACUUGCACAGUGAAACCUACAGAGUGGUCAAGAUGCCUAGUGUUCCCUGGAGGCCACUGUGCAGGUUGCUAGGUUGGUCUGUAAAAGAGAGGGUUAUUUUGUAUAUUUUGAGAUAAUGAUGAUGAUGGGAUGGACACAUUUCCUAGAGUCAACCAAUUCUCUAUGUGAAAACCGUUUCCCUUUCCUCAGGAUACGUUUUGCUGUGUGCAAAAAAGUAACAAUCUGUUAAAAGUGGUUAAAAAAAUCCCAAAUAACAAAAACCUACCCACAGUAUCCUAAAGGAACUCAGGAGCAUGAAGCAUUACUGUAGGUGAACAUUCUCAUCAUGACACAGGUGUUGACUUACACUUUUGAUCUAAUUGAGGACAAAGGAGGGCUUGUUUUGUGUGUCUAGAGUAUAUGUGUGUGUGUGUGCCCAUGUGUCUUUUCAUGUUUAUGUGUGAGCAUGUGUGUGCGUGCACGCAUAUUAAGUCAGAGGUCAACUUUGAGUGUCGUCUUCUCUCUCUUCCUAUUCUUUAUGGAGUUGGGAUUUCUCACUGAACCUGGAACUCAUCAGUUCAGCUGGACUGGCUAAGCAAUGAACCAGAUAUCAUUGUGUCUCUGACUCACCGGCACUGAGAUUCCAGUAAUGCACCUUCAUGAAUGGCUUUUAGGUAGGUACUGGGGAGAUCUAAAUGCAAGUCUUCUUAUUUGCAUGGCAAACGUUUUGCUGAUCAAUCCCUGCCUCCAAUGCUUGAGUAUAGUUUAUAAUUGCAAUCAGCUCCACAGUCUUUGACACAGAAACACACUGACUCAUCUCCCUGUGCUGGAGGCUCAUAUUUGACAGCUGUCUUUUAAGGGUGAGAAAAGUUCCAUGUCAUUGUGUGUGGUUUGAAUGAUACCCACAGAAAAGUGAAGAAAAACAAAACAAAAGGUAAGAAACAUAAAACUGAUCUCCAUGGGGGUAGUUUUAAUUUUUCAUGUUAAACGGAAAAUGGAGCUUCAUUACUAGGAGGGCAACUAUGACUUUCCACUGAACAUGGCCUUUAUGCGUUUGUGAAUAGAGUCAUGAAGGCCAGGCAUUUCAAUGACAGUAUGCAUGUCUUUAUAUUUCUGAAUAUGUAGAUCAAAUAUGUAUAAUAUGCAAUCUAUUGGAGGACAGAUACUUCAUGGUUUCUUUGUUACUUUUUAAAACCCCUUCUUUGACCGUCAUUACAUUAGAAUUUUAAUAUGCUGACUGUCCCACAUAAUCUUGGAUGCCUUUCCAUUUUCUUGGCCAUGCUUUUGGUAAACUGUUCACAUAGAAUCUGAUUUCAAAGAUCCCUUUUGUAGAUUUGUGGAGAUCUUAUAAUUAGUUGAGUAGAACUAGCAGUAAGAGGAUGACCUUUCUCCUUCUACCUAUAAGAACCCUUGGUCUGGAGAGAGAGAGGUUUCUGAAGCUGCAUUUAACAUGUUAUGGAUAGCAUUUUUCCUACCCUGUACACAAACAGCAAAAGCAAGACAAGCUUCAGCAUGAAACAGCAAAGGAAGACAAGCCUCAGCAUGACAUUAGCAUAGCCCAGCCUGAGAAAAUCCACUCCUCAAUGAGGCUGAAUGAAAUCCAGCCAGCUCCUUCAUCACUGGGUUAAAGUACAAGCCUAUGGGUCCUCACCGGUUCCAGGCAAUUGUUCCAAGGGUGAAGGGGAAGAUACAAUCGAGACUAAAAGACGGCAGAAGGUUAAAAUCUGUAACUAGACUUCUAGCACCAACACCCAAUCUGUUUGUAAGGCUAGGCAAAAUGUCAGCCUCUGUACUGAUCCACGUGGUGUAUAGGGCUCAUUAACCAGAUGGGCAGAAGAAGGGUUUUGGAAGCAACAAGCAAGGCUCUCCUUCCAGAGUUAGGUUUUAGUUGGGAAACACAUCUGUCUCCAUUAUUCCCAAAAGAACCCACACCCAUGAAGAACUUACUACCCCUUUCUUCACCUCUAGUCUUUGCCUCUCAACCUUCACAACUUUGCCAACUUCAGAGUUUUGUAUGUCAUAUAAUUGCAAUUAUGUGUGAAUCAGCAUCCUGUGUUUUAUUUUUUUUCCACUCACAGUAAUGUUUAAAAUGGAAGUUUAUGCAUACUGCUGCAUUUCCCAGAACUUCACCCCUUUAAAUGGGAACUUGAAAGUUUAGUCCGAUGUCACAAUGUCUGAGGAAAGAAAAAUAUGCCUUGAGGGUUCCACACCACUAAAUGUGGCCAUAAGGUAGUAUUGUGUCAACUUAACACAAGCUAUAGUCAUCAGAGGAAGGAGCCUCAGCUGAGAAAAUGCCUCCUGGAGACCCAGCUGGGGAUUGGAUUUAGUGACCAUGGAGAAGUCAAACACAUGGACUCAUGGACUCUUGG